CGGAAGUCAGCCAGUUGCAGCCAACAGGUCUUGAGGCUGCAGGAACCUGAGACACCGUGGCACUUACAGGCGACGUCAGCCAACUUGUACACUGCCUAUGGAAGGGAAAAGUCAAGGUGGCAUCAGACAAAGGGUUUCAUCCGCACCAAAAUUUGGCAUCAUGAGCUUGGGACAACAAAUAAGGUUCCCCCGUUUAUCCUCACAACAACCCUGUAAGUAUUAAGGCCCUGCCUGGAAGCACCCUAGAAAGGACUGGGUCUGGUCAGUGCCUAGACUGGAAAAUCCUGGGAAUCCUACAUACACCACGUUGAGGUCCAUCAUGGAACUAAUGUCAGGUAUGUAAGGGGAAGGGCCGUAGCUCAGUGGAAGAGCAUCUGCUUUGCACAUAAAAAAUCCCAGGUUCAGUCCCCAGCAUCUCCAGGUAGGGUUGGGAGAGAAUACCUUCCUGAAAUCCUGGAGAGCCUCUGCCAGUCAGUGUCGACCACUGCUCUGCAACCUUGGGUCUCCAGAUAU